rnacentral:lncRNA from 1 species
GUGUAUGUGUGAGUGGGCAGCUUCUUAGAACACAAUGUAAUAUUAUAGAUUUAGGUCACAUCUUGUAGUAGUUAAGGAAGUUAGAGAAGCUAAAAUACAGAUUUGGCUAUUAAUUGGAACUUAAAGAAGAGAUGACUUUUUAAACCUUCAGAGGACAUCAAAAUAGACAAAUUUCUCUACAAGAAUAUUAGAAACUUAAUAGAAAACCAUGCUGUGACAUACAAAAACCAUCAAGCCUUUUUAGACUAGUUAUAGUCACAUAAAGGCAAUACAAACUACAAAUGAUGACCAGAGAAAUUCAAGCUAAUGACAAGACAUGCUUGCUUGCUUUUAAUAUAUCUUCUCUUUAUCCACAAAACAAAGCUUGUGUUGCUGCUGGCCAGUAUGACUAGUACCCACAUUCCAAUUCUGUAUAUUAUUAGCAUUACCCUUUGCACAGAAGUUGAUAUUCAUAGAAUUGCUGAAUCUUUCAAAUUAGGUUAUCCUAAAUCAGUCAGAAAUUCAUCAAAAGUUAAAUGAAGUAAGAAUAUUUUGUCUAGCUAUGGUGGUGCACACCUGUAAUCCCAGUUACUCUGAAGGUUGAAGAAAGGGAAUUGAAAGUUCCUAGACAGCCGGAACCACACUAAGCUCACACUAAAACAGGAGGGGCAACUUAAGAAAAUCCUGCGUAACUAAAGAACAAAAGGGCUUAAGGAUGAAACUCAUUGGUAGACUGCUGUCCUGACAUAGACUAGGCAGGUUCUUGGAUUUAAUCUCAAGUACUACAAGGCCAGCUUGGGCAAUUUAAUGAGACCUUAUUUCAGAAUUCAAAGAUAAAAGGAAUGCUCAGUGGUAGAGUAUUUGAUUAGCUUAUAAGAAGCCCUUAAUUUAGUCCCAGGACCACAAUAUAUUUAUAAAAAAACAGGGCAACCAAAUGACAGUACAAGAAACCUCUCCAGGAAUACAGAGUGAAAUAUUGGUGGUUUUGUUGAUAUUUUUAACAUUUUUAAAAAUUAUUUUGUUUAUGUGUUAAUUUGUGGAGAAAUUUUAUUUUCUUUAUAGUAGUUAUACUUCUAUAAUCCUUAUAUAGCUUUAUGUACUUUGAGGCCACAGAUGCCUGGGGAAUCUGGUGAUAUAUUUGUC